GGAGGAGGUUUUCAACCACAAAAGAUGGUGUUUAAGAGUUUCUAAAUUGUUAAAGUGCGGUUACAUUGCGCUGCAAGUGUAGUUUGGAAGGGUUCUGAGCUAAAUCCUUGGGCCUGAUCACUUGAGUUGCGCUCGCCAGCGCUAGCCCUCCGUACAUGGUUCGAAACCUCCGAUUUCACGUUUGGGAAUGGGUUUCCCCACUCCCACUCUAGGAUCUAGGAUCUGCCUCAUGACUCACUUUAGUUAACCCCAGCGUUCACACAGCCGCAAGCCGCAGGAAGGGGGGCCUGGUAGGCCCACUCCACGUCUUCCUACGCCAACUCCCGAGACCGCGUGGGUUUCCUCCCACACUCCAGCGAAUUGCCGGCCAGUAGGUACUGUGGCGGUGCGAUAGUCCUGCACAAUAGAGAGAGUAGAGUAGAUUUAGAUCUGGAGUAGCUGAAUCACUUUGCUUCAGAAUGGAGAGCUAUAAGCAUAAAGAAUCUAUUAAGAAGCAGUGUAUCAUACACCAGAAAACAUCAAAAGAAGAUGACCAUUUAGUUAGUCCUCAAGUCUACGAAUCCUGGAAAACAUUACUUGAAGCAGCCAAAGGGAGAAACCAUGCCCCUAUUUUAGAUGUUGCUAAAGAACUUCGAGAAAAAGAAGGCCCAAGAAUCUGCUAUCACUGAAAAUGCCAAAGCCUCUUCAUGAAGAGAGACUUAGAGACUCUGAAAAGGAAAGCAUUACUGAUGAAGCUGGUGAGAAUACCUGUACAUCAAAAAGGCCAAGUAUGAGAUCUUCAUCAGAAGCAAGGGUGUAUGAUCAAAUCUGCAUUUUUUAUAAUAAGGUGAAGUUUCUGAAGGUCUCCAAGUCACGUGAAAAGCUUACACAAGCUGUACAGCCCAGAGCUGACCAAACACUACGAGAAUGUGCAACCCAAAAGGAAGAUGAAAAGAUUCCAGCAGUAACAAAGCAGAGACAUAGUUGCUGCAGAGGCCCACUAUCAUGUUUCAUGCUAUAAGGAUUAUACCAGAAUCAAGAAAAGGGAACCCGGGUACAAAGAGAAUGAUGAUAAAACAGAUGGUGAUGAACUGUAUAAAAGGAUUGAAAGGGAAGCCUAUAAAGACCUUUUCAAGUAUAUCAGAACUGAUAUCAUACCCAACAAGAUGAUUGUACAAGUCACUACUUUGGUCACGAAACUUGAAUUUUUCAUGCUAUCUGGUGGAGUUACACUCCUGAAAGAUUCUACAAGGAAACACAUUCGUAGGGAACUGGAAUCUGAGCUGGGCAAUUCAGUAGAUAUAUUUCCAGAUGACAAAGGAAAAUUGUUAAUGGUUCCUGAAAGUGUAUCAUUAAGAGACGUUGCCUUGGCAAAUCAAACUCUACAGAGGGAACUCAAAGUUUGGAGGGCCAAGGCAACCAAUUUUGAGCAGUAGAAGAGCAACUCCCAGGAAACUGCAGCAGUGGUUGAUGGAAUAAACUUGGUCCAAAGAGUGAAAGGUGAUUAAGUUACUUUGAGAUGUUGCCACAACAAUUCUGGGUAUGGUUCUGAUGGAAGGCAGUCAGAGUAGCAGAAUAGAUGUUGUGUUCGACAGAUACAGGGAGAACUCUAUCAAGAAUAAUGAAAGAUCUCUACGGGGUGAAGAGACUGGUCAUGAGAUGCAAGGUAUCACAGGCACACAGAUGGUGAGGCAGUGGAGGAGCUUCCUGACCAAAAUCAGUAACAAAAAUAGUCUCAUUAGCUUCAUAGCCCAUGAAUGGAGGAAGGUGGAGUACAGAGCAAAGCUACAGGAGAAGAUUAUGUAUGUAACUGUGAAUGACAAAUGUUACAGAAUCACAUCUCAGAACUGAGGAGGUGUCAGCUCUUCAGUGUCAACAAGAAGAAGCAGAUGGCUGCCUACUACUCCCAUGUUGCCCAUGCCACAAGAGGGAUACCAAUCUGUAGUGAUCUGCUCAGAAGACACAGGUGUCUUUAGCAUUUUGUGACAAGAGGCCCCAUUGUUCCAGAAGUGUGGCACUAGAACCCGUAUAAGGCUUGUAGACAUCAGGAAGUUUGCUACCACUGUUAGCAUAGAGGUUUGUAGGGCUCUUAUUGGGUUGCACACGUAUAUAGGGUGUGACACUAAGUGCUUUUGCAGGCAAAGGGAAGACAAGUCCCCUAAAACUUUGUGCUGGAAAAGGUGAAAUCGAAAGUCAUUAACUCCCACCAUGCAAGGACUGCUUAACAAAACGUGCACAGUGGGCCAACUACCAGGCUGGUAUAUGGAGAAGGACUCAAGUGCCAAGCCCUGUUGGCAGAGGAUGGAAGAUGGAGAGAAGAGGAAGCUGAGCAGUUGGUGGUGCACUGGAUGGAAGGCCACCCAGCACCCAAUGCCGUCCUGGAUCUACUGGCCUGUAACUGUCCAAAAAAAAGUUCACUCUAAAGGCGUCCUUAAAUGACAGGAUUUAUGACUAGCCUUUAUCACCAUCCUGGCAGGGAUGGGCUGGAAGAUCUGUUUUAUAUGUCUACAAAUUGGCCAAAUCAAUGUGCCCGGAGAGUAGGAGCUUGAUUCCCUCCCAUUCUGUGUCCUUAAAUGGCAGUAUUUAUCACUUGACUUUGCAGGAAUGGGCUGGAAGAUCUGCACUAUAUGCCUGCAAAUUGGCUAAAUCCAUACAUGCCUGGAGCAUUGGGAGAGUAGGGGCCUGAUUCCCUCCCGUUCUCCAUCCAAUGUGGUUCUAGGCUUGAUUCUUGCAGUGAACCCAUCUGCCGGGCCUGGGAGUUUAUGUGGAUGGAGAAUCAGCAGCCUGACAUUUGAAACUUGGUAUGGCAAAAGUUGGACUUGCUGUAACCCACAAGAUGCCAGAAGAGCUUGCAGGUACAGGCAGCAUCUAUGGAAAUAAAUACAGUUGACAUUUGAGCCGAGACCCUUUAGAACUCGAAAGGAUGGAGUGAAGAAGCAAGAAUAUGAUGGUGGGAAGGCUGCUUUUAAAAUGUUGAAGGUGGACAUUUUUGUACUGUCCUUAAUAAAAUGUUAUUUAAUGUUUGUCCUUUCAUCUCUUGAUCUUUCCUUUGGUUCUAUUGGCCAAGUUUGAGCUUAAUUCAGCUGAUUGAAUUGAUCUGCUUUAAAAUGCACAGCUGCUUUGGGCAGCAUUUCAGAGCUUGACUUGCAUUCAGGGGCUAUAGUACCAUCUGACUUGGUGAUCUAUUCAGAUUGGGCACAGAAGUACAUUCAGCCAGAGACUCAUUCCCCAAGAUGCAACACAGAGCGUUAUACGAAGUCAUUCCUGCCUGCGGCCAUCAAACUUUACAACUCUUUCCUUGGAGGGUCAGACACCCUGAGCCAAUAGGCUGGUCCUGGACUUAUUUCCUGGCAUAAUUUACAUAUUACUAUUUAAUUAUUGUGCAACUGUAACGAAAACCAAUUUCCCUCGGGAUCAAUAAAGUAUGACUAUGACUCGUGCAAGAAAGCCACUUCUCACAGAAAAUGACAUGUUUUGUAUUCACUUUGAGUAAUGCCAGCAUUAAAGGAUAUUUG